CUGCUGCCUUCCGUAGGAGUCUGGGCCGUGUCUCAGUCCCAGUGUGGCCGGUCACCCUCUCAGGUCGGCUACUGAUCGUCGGCUUGGUGGGCCGUUACCCCGCCAACUACCUAAUCAGACGCGGGUCCAUCCCAUACCACCGGAGUUUUGACCCCUGUGCCAUGCGGCACUGUGGUCUUAUGCGGUAUUAGCACUCAUUUCUGAAUGUUAUCCCCCGGUAUGGGGCAGGUUACCCACGCGUUACUCACCCGUCCGCCACU
rnacentral:rRNA from 1 species